rnacentral:rRNA from 1 species
AAUGAACGUUGGCGGCGUGGAUUAGGCAUGCAAGUCGAGCGAGAAGCUUUUUCUGCUUGCAGAAAAAGUGGACAGCGGCGAAAGGGAGAGUAACGAGUAGAUAACGUACCCAGGGGUGUGGGAUAGCGGGGGGAAACCGCCGGUAAUACCACAUAAUGUCUCCGGACUAAAGAUUUAUCGCCCUUGGAGCGGUCUGCUUACUAUUAGUUUGUUGGUGGGGUAAAGGCCUACCAAGGCUAAGAUGGUUAGCGGGUGUGAGAGCAUGACCCGUCUCACUGGGACUGAGACACUGCCCAGACACCUACGGGUGGCUGCAGUCGAGAAUCUUCCGCAAUGGACGAAAGUCUGACGGAGCGACGCCGCGUGCGGGAUGAAGGCCUUCGGGUUGUAAACCGCUGUCAGUAGGGAGGAAAUUUUGACCGAUCUACAGAGGAAGCACAGGCUAAGUUCG